UUUAUGUUUAUUAUUAAGUUAGUUUCAGCUUCUGAUAGCAGGUUAUUAAGAGUUUACUUGAGGAGAGGAUUACGGAAUUUUAGUCUAUAGUGGAGGAAGUCUUUGAGAUUUUUUUUUUGACGUAACAGAUGUUUAUUUGAGGAUACUUGUAAGGAUAAAGUUUAUAGUGAUAAGUUGUUUUAAGUCGUUGAAUUUAUUGUAGAUUUAUAUCGGGGAUUAUUACGUGAGGAGAAUACGUUAUAAGUUAAAUGCUUAUUAGAGAUAAUGCAAGUGGUUUAAUUUAAUUGAAGUUCAUUUUAAGAUUGUAGGUUAAGAGAGUUAAAAUUUAAAAUAAAGUUUUUUUCGUAAAUAGGAAUUAUUUUCAAGUGAAGUUUGUUUUGUUGUCGUGCGCGUAGGAGACGAGACGUACGAAUUAAAUCAGUCGAGGGAAGGAUAAACGUUAGAAAGGAAUUAAAAAGAAAACGAGAGUUUAUGUAAAAGAGAGUUAUAGAAUUUAUAGUGAUGUUUUGUUUUAAUUAGAAAAAUGUUGAGAGUUGUUUCAGAACGACACGUCAGUGGACGUGGCAGAAUGAACACGUGACGGGGAGGUGCUGAAACCUAGCGGAGAACGGAGGAACCGCAAGCGAGGGUUGGCGCACCUGAUGGAAUUCGGUGACGUCACGGGCUCAUACGGAGACGUGGACAGGCCGUGACCUUGUUUUGAUCAGCUGUACGGUAACUUAGCGAUAAGAAAAUAGACUAUUGGUUAAAUAAAUUUAAAUUUAAGUGUGUUUUAGAAGAAGAGGAACUUUCAGUAUAUUCCUUAAGAUUAGCUGAGCAGCAGUCCAGUUUACAAGAUGACAAGAGUUCGAGAGACAAGAUACAAGAUCACUGAAACAAGAGCCAAGACUGAAGAUUCAAGAGAAGAGAAAGCUGGCAGCCAUGGACUUACAAGUGGAGAUUAAUAAGGUCAUGUAAAGUUUUAUUUUUUUUUAUGGAAGACAGUAACUGGAGUUUUUUUUUGUUAUAAACAUUAUUUACAGAACUUUUUAGGUUAUAGUAAUGUAAUGGAACUAGUGAGUUGUGGUAGCUGUCAAAAAGAACUAAUACCUUAAGUUUAAUUUUUAAAGUUAAUUUUCUUAAUUUACAGAGGGAUUAGUAGUUUUUUUAAAACCUUAUUUAGGUUGGAAUUUAAAUACAAUAGCUUAUUAUAAAUGUGUACGAACAGUUCAAGUUCACAGUACUGAUAGGUAGGUCAGAUGAUCUUAUUGAUUUUGAUGAUUUGUUGUUUUGAGUUGAUUUUUAAGUGUUGUGAAUUAGACAAUGAAAUAGUUCUGAAAACUUAAAUUAUUUCAAGCUAAGAAAUAGUAAAUUUAAUUUUAACUCAAAGGACACCAGAAUUUAAUUUUUUUUUGAAUUAGUAAUGUUUGAAAAUUUUAUACUUUACAAGAAAGGUUAUAAACAAACAGAUCGGAUGGAACAAGGAUGCAGUAAAUCACAAUUUCAUUUAGAAUUAUUGAUUAGCUUUUGAGGUUAUGAAGUAAAAGUAAUUAUAGUUUAAAAGUUUGAAUAAAAAAAAAAUGGUUUUUUUUAAUUUGUUUGAAAUAGAAAGUUUAAAAGUUAAUUAGUCAUGAUCUAGGUGGGUGAUGGGGUGGGAAUUGGCCACUCUUUUUCCCUAUAACCUCCCUAACAUGGCCUUCUAUUACAUCUAACAGAAAAAAAAUAAGAAAAAGAAGACUUAUUAAGUAUUAGUUAGAAUGUUUUUUUAUGAAGAUACCUGAUGAACUUUUUUUUUAUUGUUGGGAAGAAUAGUAGCAAGAUUAAUCAGAUGUUUUACUCAGAAGAAGAAGAAGAUAAAGCAGUUUUAUGACUCGACAAGCCAGAGAUUGGUGUUUCCCCUCUGCGCUUCUAUUGACUACGUUGUUUACUCUCAUGGGAUAGCUGGUUCGGCACCAUGGAGAGAGAUUGGUGGGCAUUGUGGUUGCCCCCAGAAGAAAAGAAGAGUAGAAGAGGUUAUGGGUGGGUCAUGUGAACUGACCUUCAACCCAGUUACUUCGUGGGGACUAUUUGCUGUAUAGAGAAGAUCAAGACUCAAGAGUUAGGGAAAAUCAUUGGAGGUCAUGUUUCCCUUCCUUAAGUUUUUCCUAUCAAAUUAUUUGCCUGAUUAGAUUAUGCUAAGGGUGGGAUACUUUAUGUUAGCAGUUGAAUUAAUUAAUUUUAUUUUUUUGUGUGUUUGCAUCCUUGCCCAUCGAUUGCAGUUUAGUAGUUAGUUUUGUAUUUGUCAGGCGUGAUGGUAAUGCCUGUUGAUGAUGUUUCAGAAUUGUAAUCUGUUCGUGAUGAGGAUGGCACAACUCCGAAGCAGAUGUGGGGAGAAGUUGUGAGCUGCCCUGGAAGCCAGUCCAGUAGCUGUUGGAGUUGAGUGGUGUUUGCUGAUGGCCAGCCCAGGGAGCUACUCUUCUCGACAACACUGACUUCGAGGAGUUGCACCAACCUUCACGAGAUAGAGUUUAAUUAAUUUGAAACACUGAUAAUUUUGUAAGGACACUUAAUUUUUUUUGAAGAACGAAAGAAGUAUGGUAAUAAACGGAAACCGAAAAAAAAAAAAUAAUAAUAAUUAUCAAGAAUUUGCACAUUGUUUAACGAAUACUGAGAAACUAAGAACAGUAAUUUAAUUUGUAAAGAGAGCUUCACUAACAGAACAAUUUUUUUAGAAUUGAGAACUCGAGCCUCUGAAGGUUCCUGUGAGAACAAACCAGAUAAAAGUUUUACAUUUAAUUUUAUGAAUACUUGUUGUUUUAAAAUAAAUCUUAUGCAGAAUCUAGAUGUAUGUUCAGACAGCAAGGAACUAAGAAAAUUAUUAUUUUUGUGAAAUGAGGAAUUUAUAGUUAUGGUUUAAUGGAAAAAGACAAUUUGUAAUUUUGAGGUAGCUCGAUGGGGCUCGAGCUCUGUGAGGGGAGGGUUAUGUCGCGGGUUGAAAUUUUGCAGGGUUGUUGAAAUCAAAUUUAGGGACUUUACUGACGGGACUCUGGGCUGGCUGCUCUGUUCACUCGUCAGCGCAAGUGGCGUGACCAUGUAAUUGGGGCACGGGGCCGGCGCGGCGCGCUGCGGGCUU